GAGACACCCUUCUGGGGCAAGACUUGCUUCAGUGGGGCUUUGGUGCUCACUGAGUCUUCCCCCUCAGUGUGUCCCU
rfam:Myotis lucifugus cont2.42203, whole genome shotgun sequence.